rnacentral:rRNA from 1 species
GAUGAACGCUGGCGGCGUGCCUAAUACAUGCAAGUCGAGCGAACGGACGAGAAGCUUGCUUCUCUGAUGUUAGCGGCGGACGGGUGAGUAACACGUGGAUAACCUACCUAUAAGACUGGGAUAACUUCGGGAAACCGGAGCUAAUACCGGAUAAUAUUUUGAACCGCAUGGUUCAAAAGUGAAAGACGGUCUUGCUGUCACUUCUAGAUGGAUCCGCGCUGCAUUAGCUAGUUGGUAAGGUAACGGCUUACCAAGGCAACGAUGCAUAGCCGACCUGACAGGGUGAUCGGCCACCCUGGAACUGAGACACGGUCCAGACUCCUACGGGAGGCAGCAGUAGGGAAUCUUCCGCAAUGGGCGAAAGCCUGACGGAGCAACGCCGCGUGAGUGAUGACGGUCUUCGGAUCGUAAAACUCUGUUAUUAGGGAAGAACAUAUGUGUAAGUAGCUGUGCACAUCUUGACGGUACCUAAUCAGAAAGCCACGGCUAACUACGUG